GAUGGGCCCGCGCCCGAUUAGCUAGUUGGUGAGGUAACGGCUCACCAAGGCUUCGAUCGGUAACCGGCCUGAGAGGGCGAUCGGUCACACCGGAACUGAGACACGGUCCGGACUCCUACGGGAGGCAGCAGUGGGGAAUCUUGCGCAAUGGGCGAAAGCCUGACGCAGCAACGCCGCGUGGAGGAUGAAGGCCCUUGGGUUGUAAACUCCUGUCGGCUGGGAAGAAAUCGUGCGGUGCUCAUACCACCGUGCGUUGACUGUACCAGCAAAGGAAGCCCCGGCUAACUCUGUGCCAGCAGCCGCGGUAAUACAGAGGGGGCCAGCGUUAUUCGGAAUUAUUGGGCGUAAAGGGCGCGUAGGCGGCCAUGCGUGUCUUCCGUGAAAUCCCUCGGCUUAACUGAGGACGCGCGGAAGAAACUGCAAGGCUCGAGUCCGGGAGAGGGGGGUGGAAUUCCCAGUGUAGCGGUGAAAUGCGUAGAUAUUGGGAGG
rnacentral:rRNA from 1 species